AACGAACGCUGGCGGCAGGCCUAACACAUGCAAGUCGAACGCCGUAGCAAUACGGAGUGGCAGACGGGUGAGUAACGCGUGGGAACAUACCCCUCGGUUCGGAAUAACUCAGGGAAACUUGAGCUAAUACCGGAUACGUCCGAGGUUUUAAUCGACCUUGGAGAAAGAUUUAUCGCCGGAGGAUUGGCCCGCGUCUGAUUAGCUUGUUGGUGAGGUAAUGGCUCACCAAGGCGACGANCAGUAGCUGGUCUGAGAGGAUGAUCAGCCACAUUGGGACUGAGACACGGCCCAAACUCCUACGGGAGGCAGCAGUGGGGAAUAUUGGACAAUGGGCGAAAGCCUGAUCCAGCCAUGCCGCGUGAGUGAUGAAGGCCUUAGGGUUGUAAAGCUCUUUACCCGGGAAGAUAAUGACGGUACCGGGAGAAUAAGCCCCGGCU
rnacentral:rRNA from 1 species